UACGUAGGGUGCAAGCGUUAUCCGGAUUUACUGGGUGUAAAGGGCGAGUAGACGGUUUUGUAAGUCAGAUGUGAAAACUUAGAGCUCAACUUUAAGACUGCAUCUGAAACUGUAGAACUAGAGUGCAGGAGAGGUAAGCGGAAUUCCUAGUGUAGCGGUGAAAUGCGUAGAUAUUAGGAGGAACACCAGUGGCGAAGGCGGCCUGCUGGACCGGAACUGACGCUGAGGCACGAAAGCGUGGGGAGCAAACAGG
rnacentral:rRNA from 1 species